AUGAACGCUAGCGGCAGGCUUAAUACAUGCAAGUUGAGGGGCAGCAUGAUAUACGCGAGUAUAUUGAUGGCGACCGGCGGACGGGUGAGUAAUAGGUAGGAGACCUACCUCAUACGAGGGGGAUAGCAUAGAGAAAUCUGUGGUAAUACCCCAUGAGGUUAUAUGAAUAGAGGCAUAUAAUCAAAGCAUAAGUGAUUAUGCGGUAUGAGAGGGGCCUACUGACCAUUAGCUAGUUGGUGAGGUAAGGGCUCACCAAGGCGAAGAUGGUUAGGGGUUUUGAGAGAGAGACCCCCCACAUUGGAACUGAGAGACGGUCCAGACUCCUACGGGAGGCAGCAGUAGGGAAUAUUGGGCAAUGGGCGAAAGCCUGACCCAGCCAUGCCGCGUGAAGGAAGACGGCCUUAUGGGUUGUAAACUUCUUUACUACGCGAAUAGAGGUUAGUACGAGAUACUAAUAGGAAGGUAGUGUAGUAAAAAGCACCGGCUAACUCCGUG
rnacentral:rRNA from 1 species